AUAUUGCACAAUGGACGAAAGUCUGACGCAGCCAUGCCGCGUGAGUGAUGAAGGCCUUCGGGUCGUAAAGCUCUUUUCUGAGGGAAGAACGAGCGGGCGUAAUACCCCCGCAGUGACGGUACCUCAGGAAUAAGGAACGGCUAACUCCGUGCCAGCAGCCGCGGUAAUACGGAGGUUCCUAGCGUUGUUCGUGAAUUACUGGGCGUAAAGGGAGCGCAGGCGGGCAGACAAGUCUGGAGUGGAAGCCCGGGGCUCAACCCCGGAAGGGGCUUUGGAUUACUUAUCUGUUUCUUUGAAGUUUCCGUUGAAGGAGGGAAAGGGCCGGAAAUUCCAGGGUGUAGCGGUGAAAUGCUUAGAUAUCCUGAGGAACACCGGUGGCGAAAGCGGCCUUCUGGCACGAAACUGACGCUGAGGCUCGAAAGCGUGGGGAGCGAACGGGAUUAGAUACCCCGGUAGUCCACGCCGUAAACGUUGUGCACUAGGUGCGGGAGGUAUCGACCCCUUCCGUGCCGCAGUUAACGCAUUAAGUGCACCGCCUGGGGAGUACGGUCGCAAGACUGAAACUCAAAGGAAUUGACGGGGGCCCG
rnacentral:rRNA from 1 species